AUGGCUACGAGCUCGUCGUGGCCGUGCCUUCCCCCGCGUCCCUGUCCGCCCCAGUCUGCGCCCUCGCGCGUGCGCAUCUGCACGGGGUCGCGCCCCCUGCUCUGCGUGCUUGCCCUACUGCUGCUCCUCGGCAUCGGCUGCGCCGCAGCCUCGCGCUCGGCCAUGCCCGUGUCGCCCAAGCUCCGGCCGUUGGCCGCGGUCCGCCCCCGCGCCUCGUGCCACGACGCCCGGUACGUGCUCCCUGGCCACGACAGGCCGCGCACCGGCCGUCCCCUGGCCGCACCCCGCCGCUCCCGUCGUCGUGUGUUGCGCCCGCAACUGCUACUUUUCGCUGCUGCCUGCUGCGCUUAA
rnacentral:rRNA from 1 species